UAGAGUUCAAUUCAACAGAUAUAUAACAACAGGUUAACAAAAUAAAUCAAAGGUUCAAGUAUUUAUUUUUGAAAAUUUAAUCUUUUAUAGAUUAGAAUCUACAAAGUUUUUAAUCACAAGUAUUAAUACACUUUCAUUUUCAUGCCAUCUUCUUCUUUUGGUUCCUAUACGUUUCGAAUGUUGGAAAUCAUAUUAGCAGUCAUAACCUUGCUAGCUGCAAUUCGAAACAGUUCCAUUGAUAUUCUCCCUCUACUGGGUCUUCGCUUACCUUUGACUGUACCUUGCAAUAUGUACUGCAGCAGGGAGUAACAGUGCUGAUUUCUCAUACUGCAGUCUUAUGCGUUUAAUGGUAAACACAAUCUCCAAUUCUUUCCUCAUUCCUCCUAGAACCUCCUUGUUCGUGAUCCAUUUCAUGCCAUCAGUAUUUGUUAAUUUAAACACUGCCAAAAAAAAUUA
rnacentral:lncRNA from 1 species